UACGUAGGGGGCAAGCGUUGUCCGGAAUCAUUGGGCGUAAAGCGCGCGUAGGCGGCCCGAUUAGUCCGCUGUGAAAGUCCAGGGCUCAACCCUGGAAUGCCGGUGGAUACUGUCGGGCUAGAGUCCGGAAGGGGCGAGUGGAAUUCCUGGUGUAGCGGUGAAAUGCGCAGAUAUCAGGAGGAACACCAAUGGCGAAGGCAGCUCGCUGGGACGUGACUGACGCUGAGACGCGAAAGCGUGGGUAGCAAACAGG
rnacentral:rRNA from 1 species